rnacentral:rRNA from 1 species
UACGUAGGGGGCAAGCGUUGUCCGGAUUUAUUGGGCGUAAAGCGCGUGUAGGCGGCUGGGUAGGUCCGCUGUGAAAACUCGAGGCUCAACCUCGAGACGUCGGCGGAAACCAUCCAGCUAGAGUCCGGAAGAGGAGAGUGGAAUUCCUGGUGUAGCGGUGAAAUGCGCAGAUAUCAGGAGGAACACCGGUGGCGAAGGCGGUUCUCUGGGCCUGUACUGACGCGGAGGAACGAAAGCGUGGGGAGCGAACAGG